GCGGGAGUAGCUCAGUUGGUAGAGCGCCACCUUGCCAAGGUGGAUGUCGCGGGUUCAAGUCCCGUCUCCCGCUCCA
rnacentral:tRNA from 4 species